rnacentral:rRNA from 1 species
UGGUGGAGUGAUUUGUCUGGUUAAUUCCGUUAACGAACGAGACCUCGACCUGCUAACUAGUACACUCCAGUGUUCGCACUGGAGUCGUGACGUACUUCUUAGAGGGACUAUCGGUGCGCAGCCGAUGGAAGUUCGAGGCAAUAACA